rnacentral:lncRNA from 1 species
UGUAUACAUAUGUAACUAACCUGCACAUUGUGCACAUGUACCCUAAAACUUAAAGUAUAAUAAAAAAAAAAAGUUACUCUCACUGAAGUUCUCUCUUGCCCAUUUCAAUCCCUACUCCCAUCUCCAGCCCUAAGCAAUACUGCUCUGAUAUUCUGUCUGUAUAAAUUUCCCAUCUGUGUAAUAGAAAUGGAAUCAUACAAUAUAUUAUAUUGAGGUCUGACUUUAAUCAUUUAGUUACUAUUUUUGAAGUUAAUUGAUGCUUUAGCUUGUGCCGGUCAUGUGUUUUCCUUUUCAUUGCUUCAUAGUCCAUUGUGUGGAUAUAUAAACAGUGUUUAUUCAUUCAUCAGUUGAUGGACAUUUAAUUAUUUCUGUUUUUUGUAUUAUGAAUAAUGCUGCUUUGAGCAUUCAUAAUACAGUCAUGUAAUGUAUAAUAACAUUUUGGUCAAUGAUGGAUAGCAUGUAUGAUGGCAGUCCCAUAAGAUUAUGAUAGAGUUUAAAAAUUCCUAUCACCUAGUGUCUUGUAGCUGUCACAAGUGUGUAGCGUAACACAUUAGACAGGCAUCAGUGAUGAUGCCGAUGGAAAGGAAUCUACUGGUUUUCCAGUUAUGUUAAAGUACUGUAUAGAACAUACAACUAUGUGCAGUAUAUAAUACUUGGUAGUGAAAAUAAAUGACUAUGUUCCUGGUUUAUGUAUUUACUGUGCUAUACUUUCUAUAAUUAUUUGAGAAUAUAUUCUAUCUGCGUAUUAAAACAAACCACUUACCUGUAAAACAGCCUCAAGUAGGCCUUUGAGGAUGUAUGCUAGAAGGUGUUGUUAUCGUAAGAGAUGACAGCACCAUGUGUGUUUCUGCCCCUUCCAGUGGGACAAGAUGUGGAUUCAGAAGGCAGUGACAUUGAUGAUCCUAAUCCUGUGUAGGUCUAGGCUGAUGUGUGUGUCUGAGCCUCAGCUGUUAACAAAAAAAGUUUAAAAUUUAAAACUUAAAUUUUAAAAUAGAAAAAAUAUAGAAUAAUAUUUUAAAAAUUUGCACAGCUGUACAAUAUGUUUAUGUUUUAAGGUAAGUGGUAUUACAAAAUAGUUGUUUUUAAAAUUGUUUAAGUUUAUAAAUUUUAAAUGUUACAGUAGGCUAAGGUUAAUUGUUGAGUAAAUAAAAAUAGAUUUCUAUAAAUUUAGGGUAGUCUAAAGAUACAAUGUUCAUAAAGUCUAUAGUAGUGUACAGUAAGGUCCUAGGCCUUCACAUUCACUCACCAUUCACUCACCGAAUCAUCCAGAGCAACGUCCAGUCCUUUAAGCUCUGUUCAUGGUAAAGUGCCCUAUACAGAUGUACUAAUUUUUAUAUUUUAUACCAUAUUUUAUUGUAGCUUUUCUAUAUUUAGAUUUUAGAUAUAUAAAUGCUUACCGUUUUGUUACCUUUGCCUGCAGUAUUCAGUACAGUUACAUGUUGUACAGUUUGAAGCCCAGAGCAAUUGGCUGUAUCAUACAGCCUAGGUGUAUAGGGGGCUAUGCCAUCCAGGUUUAUGUAAGUGCACUCUAUGAUGUCUGCGUAAUUACUACAUCACUUAACGAUGCAUUUCUCAGAACACAUCACUGUCGUUAAGAGACACAUGUCUGUACAAAUGACUUUGGAGAAUAUGCUUUCAGUUCACUUGGAGCAUUCCUGGGUGUGGAUUUGCUGGACCAAAUGUGCAGACUUCAGUCUUAGACUUCCCAGCUGCCUUGAGGGAUUGGAUGAGCCUUGGCCAGCUCUUGAAGGAAACAAUAAAAUCACUUUAAUGUGCUACUUUUCAUUUUGAAGUCAUUACAGUAUCAUUUGCAAAACUCAACAAGGAAAGAUGCCUGUGGAUGGCCGUGUUCUGGGAGUCACUGUGAUGAGGUGCUGCCUGCUUUCGCCCAACCUGAUCUGGGGCUCAGACAGCUAACAGGCCCGAGUGGCUAGGAGCCAGGUUCUCACACGUCCCUGAGGAACUAGAGAGGAACGCCUCUGGGAAGCCCAGCCAGAGCCAACCGGAAGGGCCUUUUGGUGAAGUCUGACAUCCUACAUUAGUUUCUCUGGACCUGGAGCUCCCUGGAUAAAUCAUGAACAGAAGCAUCUAUGACCGACAGUUGCUCUGUGUCCUUCUAGCCUCGCAGGAGUUUCCAGCUCAUGAGGGCAGAGGAGAUGAAGAGAGGCCGAUCGACGUGAGGGUUGUGCAGGCGGCCCCUCUGAGGUGUGACUCCAGUAAGUACUCUGGAAUUACUUGCUGAGAAAGAAAAGUCUGGAUGCCAAGAAAGGUGUGACAUCCUUGCUGGCUUCAAUGUGAAGAGCCACCCUGAUUCUGGGAUUCUGAUAGGAAUAAGGUAGAUGAUGCAUAUCUGAACCUGGAAACCGCUUCCCACUGUAGAGCGUGUCUGAGUCAUGUCCCUUAGCUUCAGCAGAGCAGAUCCAGCAGGCUCUGAGCUUGGCCUCUUUGCCUGGAGCGAGACCUCUAGGUAAUGUCUCCAGAGAGGGUGGCACAAAGGAUCCUGGAUCUCCUGAUCACAGCAGCCCAAGAGUGCCGUGCGUGCACCAUGGCUCAAGAAGAAGACUUAAAAAGGGGAAA